rnacentral:rRNA from 1 species
GACGAACGCUGGCGGCGUGCUUAACACAUGCAAGUCGAGCGGUAAGGCUCCUUCGGGAGUACACGAGCGGCGAACGGGUGAGUAACACGUGAGCAAUCUGCCCAUCUCUUUGGAAUAAGCGUUGGAACGACGUCUAAUGCCGAAUACGACCUCCUUUCGCAUGAUCGGAGGUGGAAAGCUCCGGCGGAGAUGGAUGAGCUCGCGGCC